rnacentral:rRNA from 1 species
UACGAAGGGGGCUAGCGUUGCUCGGAAUCACUGGGCGUAAAGGGUGCGUAGGCGGGUCUUUAAGUCAGGGGUGAAAUCCUGGAGCUCAACUCCAGAACUGCCUUUGAUACUGAGGAUCUUGAGUUCGGGAGAGGUGAGUGGAACUGCGAGUGUAGAGGUGAAAUUCGUAGAUAUUCGCAAGAACACCAGUGGCGAAGGCGGCCCACUGGCCCGGUACUGACGCUGAGGUGCGAAAGCGUGGGGAGCAAACAGG